UACCCUGGUGCUGUGUGCCUGCCAGGUGUGGUGGUGCAUGCCUAUAAUCCUAGCACUCUGGAGGCUGAGACAGGAGGAUUGCCAUGAGUUCAAGGCCAGCCUGGACUAUGUAGAAAAAUUAUGUGUGCCUGUACUAUGUAAUUCUUACCUGUAUAUAGUCAUGUGUGCAUGGGAGAAAAAGCUCUAGACCAGUAUAGCAACCUUAUUUAUUGUAAGAGUUGGAGCCUCAUGAUGUUCACAUGCUCAUAUUUGAUUUGAUAUUACCUACAAUUUUAAUAUGUACAAAAGUGUUACACUGGAUAGGGAAGAGAAUGAAGGCAGGAAGCACAGCUACAGUGAGGAGGUUGGGAGAGGAUGGUAUCUGUCUUUUAAACCAGCAACUCUGACCUUGCUUCACAGUGUGACGGGGAGACUGGCCUACCAGGGAGCUCGCUGUGAAGAGCCAGAGUUCUGCCUCUUAUGCUGCCGCAGCGAUCCUCAGGUCAGCACCAUGCUGGUUCAGUUCAGCUGGGUGUUACAAGUUGACCACCAGUUGUCAGUCCACCACACCAGGCAUGGUGCUGCACGGAAGGCUGAGUGAGGAGACAGGAGCUUGGACACCUUGAGCUGACUUUUACUGAGCACCCUCAGAUACUGCUUUAUGACUAAGGAAACCCAGAUCCAGAAUUGUACUGCUUUCCCAAGUCACACAGGAAAUGCUGGCCCAGGAUUUGACUCCAGAUCUCUCGAGUGGCUAAGUUUGUCAUUCCCCGCACCAUGAGCCUGCACUGCCCGCAACUGCUCAGUGGUAUUUAGACGUUUUUGUUUUGGCCAAGCUCUCUUUGCAAAUAAAAUCUUAACGCCAAACACAGAUUCAAAGACAGAUCAGAUUUCAUGAACAUAAUUAGCACAAGUUUAUAUCAUGUUUAAAUGUAUAACACUAGAUUAAUAAAAGC
rnacentral:lncRNA from 1 species